GCGGAGGAAAAGAAACCAACAGGGAUUGCCUCAGUAACGGCGAGUGAAGCGGCAACAGCUCAAAUUUGAAAUCUGGCCCCCUACGGGGGUCCGAGUUGUAAUUUGCAGAGGGUGCUUUGGCAUGGGCGGCGGUCUAAGUUCCUUGGAACAGGACAUCGCAGAGGGUGAGAAUCCCGUACGUGGGCGCCCGCCUUUGCCGUGUAAAGCCCCUUCGACGAGUCGAGUUGUUUGGGAAUGCAGCUCUAAAUGGGAGGUAAAUUUCUUCUAAAGCUAAAUACCGGCCAGAGACCGAUAGCGCACAAGUAGAGUGAUCGAAAGAUGAAAAGUACUUUGGAAAGAGAGUCAAACAGCACGUGAAAUUGUUGAAAGGGAAGCGCUUGCAGCCAGACGUGCUCGCGGUUGCUCACCCAGGCUCCCGCCUGGGGCACUCUUCCGCGGGCAGGCCAGCAUCGGUUUGGGCGGUCGGAUAAAGGCCUCUGUCAAGUAUCUUCCUCCGGGAUGACCUUAUAGGGGAGGCGCAAUGCGACCAGCCCGGACCGAGGUCCGCGCAUCUGCUAGGAUGCUGGCGUAAUGGCUGUAAGCGGCCCGUCUUGAAACACGGACCAAGGAGUCUAACAUCUAUGCGAGUGUUUGGGUGUCAAGCCCGGGCGCGCAAUGAAAGUGAACGGAGGUGGGAACCCUUCGGGGUGCACCAUCGACCGAUCCUGAUGUCUUCGGAUGGAUUUGAGUAAGAGCAUAGCUGUUGGGACCCGAAAGAUGGUGAACUAUGCUUGAAUAGGGUGAAGCCAGAGGAAACUCUGGUGGAGGCUCGCAGCGGUUCUGACGUGCAAAUCGAUCGUCAAAUUUGGGGCAUAGGGGCGAAAGACUAAUCGAAACCAUCUAGUAGC
rnacentral:rRNA from 1 species